AGGCUCUAUCCUAGUCUGUAAUAGGAAUCAAGAUGAAGGUGUUAUUUUUUAUACUCGUGACAUUAACAUAUUCUGCUUUACAUAUGCAGGUGAAUGCUAUCUCUGGACGCGAGUGUAAACUCCAAGAACAAUGUAAUGAUGGAGAAUGUUGUGCUAUUCCUCCACUGUAUCCCAUCAUGAGUAAAAGAUUGGCACUUCUGCCUACUCCAAAACAAAAAAUUGGACACUGCAUGACGUACUUACCAGUAGGUUCCACGUGUGACCCUAUCAGCCAAUUAAAUGGCUUGCACUGUGGAUGCGCUAAAGAUUUACAUUGUAAUUUCUACCCAGAUAAAUUUGGUAAAAGGAAGUUGCUGCCAGGAAAAAGGAUCUGUGAGGCCAAGAAAAUUUUGAAUUAAAUAAAUACAGUAUACAAACCUAUCACG